GACGAACGCUGGCGGCGUGCUUAACACAUGCAAGUCGAACGGAAAGGCCCUGCUCUUGUGGGGUGCUCGAGUGGCGAACGGGUGAGUAACACGUGAGUAACCUGCCCUUGACUUUGGGAUAACUUCAGGAAACUGGGGCUAAUACCGGAUAGGAGCUCCUGCUGCACGGGGGGGGUUGGAAAGUUUCGGCGGUUGGGGAUCGACUCGCGGCUUACCAGCUUGUUGGUGGGGUAGUGGCUUACCAAGGCUUUGACGGGUAGCCGGCCUGAGAGGGUGACCGGCCACAUUGGGACUGAGAUACGGCCCAGAAUGCUACGGGAGGCAGCGGUGGGGAAUAUUGCGCAAUGGGCGGAAGCCUGAUGCAGAGACGCCGCGUGCGGGAUGACGGCCUUCGGGUUAUAAACCGCUUUGGCCGGUGACGAAGCGAGAGUGACGGUAAUGAAUAAAGAAGCACCGGCUAACUACGUG
rnacentral:rRNA from 1 species